CCCUGGACAGGUCGCUAGUCCAUUGCAGGGCAUCAUAGACAUUACUACAAAGUAAUAUCUAUGGACUAAAUGGGAUCCCUGCCCAGAAGAAAUAUGGAGGAAGAAAGGAAAAUACACGGCCUUCUCCCCCCUCCCUGUCUGGAAGCUCCUGAACUCACAUGGUUGGAAUUGGUGAACACACAGAUGUCCUCAACACUGUUUUAUGACGCCUUCUUUCACCCAGCUUAGGGUGCGUGCGGCAGGAUGAGCUCCCAACUGAUUCACCUGAGAAAGAGAAGUGAGUCACUGAGUCCAGGUUGGAUUCCCACUGGAAUCCAAACGAUUCAACUACCUCUCUCGGACCUAUCACCGCAUGAGAAAACUAUAAGAGCCGAACAACCUUUCUUUACUCCAAUGAUUCUUCCUGAAGCCAAAUUACCCACUGAGUCUCUUUCCCUAGAACGAUCCAGUCAGAGCCUCACUGGUGCGCCCGUUUCUAGGAUUAUCAAACUCUGUGAUUCCUCUGAAAAUAAAACUCUGAAAAGACUUACCUUUGUUUGAUUGUGCCUGUUCUAGAGUCGAUCCCAGGAUCAUGUCAUACUUAUGUUUUUGUCACCCUUGUAUUGCGACUCAUCCAGGUUUUAGGUCCUUGAAACAUUUCCCAUUCCCAAACCUUGUAUUCUAUGGUUUUCAUGCUCAUUGUAAAGUACACAUGCUCUCACAGGGCCUUUACUGAUAAUUGAACUGGAUGUUUGUGAGACCUUUUUCAAAAUUAGAGAAACUUUGGUUGGUCUAUUUGGGUGUUAAAUUGUUGUGAUCACUGCUAUAGAAACAUAAUUUGAGUGUUUGGCUUUGCUGUUAGCUUACCUCCAACCUGCUGCUAAAUAGGUUGGUCAAUAAAAAUGUUGUCUAAUUCCUUGGUUCAAAA